rnacentral:rRNA from 1 species
AUGAAUGUCGAUGACGACACUCUGUCCGCUGUCGUGGCUGUCAUGGGCUGCAGGGUGGAAGGGUUCCCCCAGACCUACCUGGGGAUCCCCCUGUCAUGCCACAAGCUUUCACUGGCGGAUUUCCACUUCAUCAUUGCCAAAGUGGACCGGUACCUUGCUGGCUGGCGCGCACGCCUCCUCUCCCCGGUCGGGCAGCUGGUUCUCAUCAACGCCGUCCUGGAUGCUAUCCCGUCCUAUGCUAUGGGCGCGCUCAAACUUCCCCCACAGGUGGACACCCUGCGCCUCUCCACCUCGGGGGCCGCGGUGCGCGGGCUGCACCUCUUUGAUGUCUGUGGAGCUGUCGGUGCCGCGUCGCCACAAACAUUCGUGCAGCUCUGCUGUUGGCACCUGUGGAAGCGGAGGAAUGUUGUGGUGUUCAGGCGGGAGUCCCCCUCUCUGGCUGCUACUCUGAAGGCCUCCCGCGACGACGCCGUCCUCUGGCGUAGCCGUUUCCGUCCUGAUGAUCGUGGGCACGUUGAUGUGUGGCUCCAUGUCUUGCAUAUGUAA